rnacentral:rRNA from 1 species
AUUGAACGCUGGCGGCAGGCCUAACACAUGCACGUCGAACGAGUGGCGGACGGGUGAGUAAUGUCUGGGAAACUGCCUGAAGGAGGGAGAUAAAUACUGGAAACGGUAGCUAAUACCGCAUACCAUCGGCAGUGCCCAUAUGGGAUUAGCUAGUAGGUGGGGUAAAGGCUCACCUAGGCGACGAUCCCUAGCUGGUCUGAGAGGAUGGCCAGCCACACUGGAACUGAGACACGGUCCAGACUCCUACGGGAGGCAGCAGUGGGGAAUAUUGCACAAUGGGCGCAAGCCUGAUGCAGCCAUGCCGCGUGUAUGAAGAAGGCCUUCGGGUUGUAAAGUACUUUCAGCGGGGAGGCGUUACCCGCAGAAGAAGCACCGGCUAACUCCGUGCCAGCAGCCGCGGUAAUUC